rnacentral:lncRNA from 1 species
AGCUACUAAUAGAAUUAGCUAUGCCCCUAGACCUAUUGUUAGAGUUUUACCUAAGGAUCUCUAAUAUAAUAUAAAGUCUAGGCCUGACGAUGAUAUAAUAAGGAUGAUGAGUUUAUAGAGAAAUAAUAGAUCCCUAAGAAUACAAGACAAUAGAUAGCCAAUCUAUGACCAUCUAGGAGGAGUUCGUCAUAGGCCAGUUGAUUAGCAUGCUAGAUAUCUUGAUAGGAUCAAUAGACAUUCCCCUCCACCCCACUAAUAUGAUCAAGAUGACACUAGAAGCAUUAUUUGGUU